GACAGAGGAUGCAAGCGUUAUCCGGAAUGAUUGGGCGUAAAGCGUCUGUAGGUGGCUUUUUAAGUCCGCCGUCAAAUCCCAGGGCUCAACCCUGGACAGGCGGUGGAAACUACCAAGCUGGAGUACGGUAGGGGCAGAGGGAAUUUCCGGUGGAGCGGUGAAAUGCGUAGAGAUCAGGAGGAGCACCCGUAGCGAAGGCGGCACUCUGGGCCGAUACUGACACUGAGGAGCGAAAGCGUGGGGAGCGAAUGGG
rnacentral:rRNA from 1 species